rnacentral:rRNA from 1 species
CCCUUAGAUGUUCUGGGCUGCACGCGCGCUACACUGAUGCGUUCAACAAGUUGGACCUCGUCCGAGAGGAAAUCGGGGGAAUCUUUUGAAAACGUAUCGUGAUAGGGAUAGAUUAUUGUAAUUAUUAAUCUUCAACGAGGAAUUCCUAGUAAGCAUGAGUCAUCAGCUCGCAUUGAUUACGUCCCUGCCCUUUGUACACACUGCCCGUCGCACCUACCGAUUGAAUGGUUCGGUGAAGAUCUCGGACUUCGAUAUUUAUUCUUUAUUGAGUUUAUAUUGUGGGAAGUUAUCUAAACCUCAUCAUUUAGAGGAAGGUGAAGUCGUAACA